ensembl:lncRNA
GUGAUGGGGUCUGAUUGCGGACAGGUGUCUGCAAUCUGACUCAAUCAGGAAGUGUGUAUUUAAGUGCCUGCUUGUCUUUCAGUGAGGGGUGGAGAGAGAGAGAAGGAAGACGCUCUCUGCGAGCUAGAGAGAGCGUCGUAUGACCAAGUGACGGACGGAAAGAACAUCCAGCGUUGUCCUUUUGUCCUUUUGUGACGUUGUGUUUGUUUGCCUGAAGGGGAAAUAAACAGGAGUUCGCUCCAUUUCUCCUAAGAACUGUGUCCUGACUCGUUGAAACCCGUUACAGUGGCGCCCAACGUGGGGCGAGUCAAGUAUGGAACAAUCGCCAUUGGCCAGUGUCCUCGGACACCUGGCGCAAACAGCAGCGCUACAGACCCAGCUACAGCAGGCCCAGAACGAGGUCCUGGUGGAGCUGGCCCGCUCCUUGGCCGCCGACCGGGAGGCCAUGCGGGAGCUACUCGGCUCUGGAAAACGUGGCGGGGUAACCCGACCGGGCCAACAAAUAUUUAUUCCUAAAAUGGGGAGGCUGACGACCCAGAGGCCUUUCUGGAGACCUUCCGAGGGGUGGCCGAGGUCUCAGAGUGGCCGCCGCAGGAGUGGGCCCACCGUCUCCUGCCUCUGCUGACGGGAGAGGCCCAGCUCGCAGCCCACAGCCUACCAGCGGCGGCCCAGAACGACUUCAACCUCGUCGCCAGGGAUAUCCGGGACCGGUUGGGCCUAAACCCGGAGGAACAUCGCCGGCGGUUCCGGGCCCUGGCCUUCACCGACGGCGACCGGGCCUUCAUCUACGCCCAGCAGCUGCGGGACCAGGCGAGGAGGUGGCUGGGCCCGGAGCAAAACACACCGGAGGACAUAGUGGAGCAGGUGGCCCUGGAGAGGCAGACGCGUCGGAUAGGGGGUUGGGCGCGGUCCUGACCCAGCAGGUUGAGGGGACCGACCGUCCGGUGCUGUACCUGAGCCGCAAGCUGUCGGGCCGCGAGGGUCGGUACAGCACGGUAGAGAAGGAGUGUCUCGCCAUCCGGUGGGCGGUCGGUGCCCUUCGCUACUACCUGCUGGGUCGCCAGUUCACCCUCUACUCCGACCACGCCCCCCCUCCAGUGGCUCCACCGGAUGAAGGAUGCCAACGCCAGGAUCACCCGGUGGUACCUCGCGUUGCAGCCGUUCAAUUUCCGGGUGGCCCACAGGCCGGGGCGCAGAUGGUCGUGGCAGACUUCCUCUCCCGUCCCGGGGGGGGGGGGAGUAGGUUUACGGCCGGAUGGGUCCCCGGCCUGUGUCGUGCGGUGGGGUGAGGGGUGGAGAGAGAGAGAAGGAAGACGCUCUCUGCGAGCUAGAGAGAGCGUCGUAUGACCAAGUGACGGACGGAAAGAACAUGCAGUGUUGUCCUUUUGUGACGUUGUGUUUGUUUGCCUGAAGGGGAAAUAAACAGGAGUUCGCUCCAUUUCUCCUAAGAACUGUGUCCUGACUCGUUGAAACCCGUUACAGUGGUAUUCAAUUUCUUUCAACGGGGCUACAUCCAGUC